rnacentral:rRNA from 1 species
ACACAUGCAGUCGAACGCAUCCUUCGGGGUGAGUGGCAGACGGGUGAGUAACGCGUGGGAAUCUACCCAUCCCUACGGGAUAGCUCCGGGAAACUGGAGAUAAUACCGUAUACGUCCUCCGGGAGAAAGAUUUAUCGGGGAUGGAUGAGCCCGCGUUGGAUUAGCUAGUUGGUGGGGUAAUGGCCUACCAAGGCGACGAUCCAUAGCUGGUCUAAGAGGAUGAUCAGCCACAUUGGGACUGAGACACGGCCCAAACUCCUACGGGAGGCAGCAGUGGGGAAUAUUGGACAAUGGGCGCAAGCCUGAUCCAGCCAUGCCGCGUGAGUGAUGAAGGCCCUAGGGUUGUAAAGCUCUUUCAGUGGGGACGAUAAUGACGGUACCCACAGAAGAAGCCCCGGCUAACUUCGUGCCAGCAGCCGCGGUAAUA